UGGUGUUAUUGAGCUUGAGUUUCAGACGACGGUGCAAAGGAUGCACGCGUCUUCUUCUUUAACAGAGGAAGAAGACGAUGACAUGACCAACUAGUUCUUACGGACAUUCUAUGGAAGGAAAUUUGAAGUAAUUCGGAUGCUGGGAGUUGAAGAAUGAAAUUCUGAAACGUCGACGACGAGAGUUAUAGAAUCAACUCGGUCUUUACCAUUACAAACCUAUUUGGUUAGGACAAAGAUUUGAGGUUUGGGUUUGCAGUCCACCA